GACAGCAUGGUGUAGUGGUUUGAGUGUUGGACUAUGAAUCUGGAGACCAGGGUUUUAAUCCCAGCUCUGUCA